GUAAACACACACACACACACACACACACACACACACGUACACACAGUGCAGAUGAUCUGAGAGCUGGUUAGAGCUGUAACAAUGAGAGACUCCUCAGCGGUCAGCAGCAGUGAUCACGAUGAGUUCGACAGCAGCGACAGCACCACGUUUUGGAGAAAAGACUUCAGCGUACCUGCAGCACCCUCUGGCCGAUCUUGCUGGUUACAGUGGGCUUGUGUGGUCAUCUCAACCAUUUUACUAAUCUCACUCAUCAUCUCCAUGUCCCUAACCAAGUCGCAGGUGGACAGCAGGUUCUCUGAUCAUACACCCUAUAGCAGGGGUAUUCAACUAAAAUUUGAAGAGGUCCAGUUAGAGAACAUUUCUUGAAUCAAAGGUCCGGAAUGUUUAACUAUAUAUACAGUGUAUAUGUACGUACCUAAGAUUGUGUCAUGGUAGUUGUUUAGUGACUGAACAGAACAGGAUAAUACAAAUGUGUUUUAAGAUAGAAUAUUUUUGAUAUAUACGACUGUCUUGGAUGUGCUAAGAAUAACAAGGAGCAGACUGUCUCUAAUUCAAGGUUAAGUGGAGUCUGUUGUUGGUCAAAAUGUAAGAGAAUUCAAGCCUAACUGAUCAUAGAGUAAAUUUGAUUGUUCAUAAAGGAUAUUAAAUAAAGAAUCACAAAAUUAUAAACAUGAAAUAUAAAAUGUAUUGUAACAGUAGGUGUAGCUCAUCAAAUGGCUAAUGAAUGUGCUUUUCUGAGUGUGUGUGUGUGUGUGUGUGUGUGUGUGUGUGUGUGUGUGUGUGUGUGUGUGUGUGUGUGUGUGUGUGUGUAGGUACAGCAUCAGUAGCUCUGGCGGGAUUGUUAGCAGCGCAGCGUGUUGUAGGAAAGCCCAUCACUGAUCAUACAGUUCUGUUCCUGGGAGCCGGAGAGGUGGUGGAGUUUCUGUACAGUAAAGGAAUGGCAUUUCGGUACCCAGAGCCACUGGAUAAGGAGGCGUAUGUGAGAUCCAUUGUGUGGAACACGGAGUACGAUUCCUUCCUCCCAGACAUCUACGAACGGGCUGGAGUGUCCCAUAGUCCUAUAGUGGAGUAAUCAUACACCCUAUAGCAUACACCUGAAACAGUCACACCCUUCAUUUACAGCUGUGUAAUGUUUAACUAUCACACAUCCCCAUGGGGAGUGAUUCCUAAACUCCUUCUGCUAAUGUAAAUGUACAGUGUUGCUAUUAAUAAAACACUCCACGUGUG